AGACACGUAGUUUACACAACCGUUAAAGGCAUGAUUACAAAGUGACCAUACACUUUAUUUAGAAAAAGAAAAAACGGUUCAUUUAAGCCUCGACGAUCUCCUCGAUAAAAGGUUGUUGUUGCCUACCAGCGGAUCGAGUCAAGGUGGUCUCAAGGGUGUUAAACUUGAUCCUCCUAGCUUCCUCGGGGGAGACCUGGAAACCAUUUGAGAUGACCGCUAAUGGCAAUCCCCUCAAGAGCGAGGUUCGUCCAGCCAAAGUGCUGAUCAUAGCGUUUUCGUUAGUCUUGAAAGAGAUCCACUCGAAGUUGUUUCCGUGGGACUGGACAACGUAUGCGAACCCUUGUGGGAUGACCACGAGCUGUCCCUUCUGCACCUGCUGGUCCAACACAUUCUGUCCGUUGUCGUUCACAACUUGGAUCCUUCCUUGUCCUCCGGUGCAGUACAAGAUCUCGUUAGCGUUCAUGUUGUAUUUUGGAAGUACCAUAGCAUUCUGCAACAUUUCAUACAUGAUCAGUUGUUGUCCGUCACAUGUAGCCUCCGAUUUUAAUAUGUUUUGUUUUGUUUUUUUUGAAAAAGAUUUUUAAUAUGUUUUGUUAGGGGAAAUAAUUAAUAUCAACCAUGUAAAUAUAGUGGAUUAUAUAAGUUUAGUGACUUAAUAUCCAUAUAUCUACAACUAAAUAUCUACUAAAUUUAAUUAUAAUUUGUAUACUAUCCCUAAUUUAUCUUUUCACGGUUGAUUUCUCUAUAUUUGUAUAAAGUAAAAGAAACAUAUACUUACACCCUGGAUACUGCCACGGGUGGCGCUGAGCCUGAUGAACUGCAAGAUGGGCAAGGUGUAGCUGUUAACGGUGGUCAUACGACCUAGGUUGGGCUUGUAUACGUCAGCACGAGCAGGGUCGUCAAUGUUUUCGUGGGACCUCAUGCUGCAGAUAGUCUCCUCAAGGCCGUUGUCUUGUGGGCCACGUGGGCGUCUCCUCUCUUCGCUCUCGUAGGGUUGUCUCAAAGGUGGUCGCACGACCUGGAAAGGUCCCUUAACACGAACGAUGUUUCCUCGGUUGUCUUGUUGGUUCUGAAGCUCCUGAGCCAACUGAACGUCAAUUUUCAAUGCCUGAGCAAUGACCUGAGCGUCGAAGCCGCUCCACAUGUUCUUCUGUUCUUGUUGUUGCUGUGGACCGCCAAAGCCACCCUGUUGGUUGUUUCCGGCCAAAUGGAACACCUAUAACACCGAAUCAACAAAUGCAAAACAUUUAUAUAUUAUUUAAACUGAUACGGUAGAUAUUCUAAUAAUGAGUGAGCAUGUUGAGUAUAUAUGAUUACUCUAGGGUUACGGUCGAGUUGGUUUUGGUAGUUGGCGAUGUCGAGAAGAGCGAUGAUGACAAGUGGCUGUUCUCCGGUGUUGUAGAUCCAAUGGGCAGAGCCUGGAGUGAUGGCACAGAUGUCUCCCUGGCGAACAUGUUCCACCUUCUGGUGCAUGUCACGGAACCCUUGUUGUUGCUGUUGUCCCUGUUGUCCCUGUUGUCCCUGGCCUCCCCAUGGUUGUCGUCCCUGUUGUCCCUGUCUUUGUUCUUGCUGUUGUUCUUGCAUGGGCUGCGAGUCCAUGAAGGUCUCAGCACAUCCAGGGACCACUCUUCCGCUAAUACCCUUUCCUGUAAAUUAAUUUUAUAUACAGAAUAGAGUUAUCGUACGGUGAAUCUAUUGUAUUCUUCAUUAAUUAAAACGUGAUAUAUACGUAUUUGAUUGAAAGGGCUAUCAUGUUUGUGUAAAUUGAUAUAGACCUUGAACAACGUAUGAGAUCUUCGGGGAAGUGAAGAAGGUGGGCAAGUAGAGACCGCCUUGUUCGAUCACAUAACGAGCGACGGAGACACCAGCACAUCGGAGUUGAGGGUGGUUGUGAUCCCAGUACUCGAUCUGACCGGCCUCACUCUUGAUAGUUUCGGUGGCUUGGAGAACGUCCAGGUUAUCAAGGUUACACUCGUUCUGCAGCUGAGGAGGAACCCCAAGAGACUGCCUUGCAAGGCAGCCGUUAAGGACGAGGAGAACCCCGAAGGUCGCAACGAGGAGAUUGCCGAGCUUAACCAUUUUCUUUUUGUUUGUUGUGAGAGAUGGAUGAAGAAGAACGAGGCUUAGCAGUAGUUUAUAUACUGUCGAGUGAGCUCAAUGUUUAUGCCACCUAAGAUUGGGUUUGCAUGGGGUCAUGAGUCUAUGGUUUUAACACGUCAGUCUGUGAGCUCGAGCAAGUGUCUCUUGAUGUUCAUGCGCGUAGCUCACUCUCCGCGUAUGCCAAAACACGACAAAUUCAAAUGUAUCUAUCUCAAUUUUUAGCUUCACGUUAUGUUAUUAUCCAUAUAGAAAAACUCUACUAGAUUUAUCAUUUAAUAACGUCUCGGGAUCAUAGAAUCUCUUAAACAUGAUAUAUAAUUGAACUUAAACACAGCAGGAGAAAAUCAAAGUUUAACAAUUAACACAUCAUUAACAUCACCAGUGAUAUAUAUUGAAUAUUUUGGCGAUGUGAUCGAAGAGAGCGUAUAAACAAAAUAAAAUUUUAAAAUAGAGAGUUAGGAAGGAAACAAGGUGCCACAUGAGAGAGACGCGGCGACACUAGGCGUGUUUGAUCCGUUGUACUUGUAUCUGCUGCGACUUGACUCGACAACUGUUCGGUUGCAUGUUUAGCCGCGGUGACAAGUGUCUGACAUUUAUACUAAAUAGGCUUAUCAAAACCAAAACCAAGCCCAAUAAAGUAUUCUUUAUUCACCAUUAAGCCCAGCUAACGUAUCUAAUUGCCCAUAGCGUGAGCCCAAAGAAAAAAAAAAAAAAAAAUGCGACACCGUCCCGUUUCUCCAAUAGAAGUCAGAGAGCUUAAACCCUAAACCCCUUUCUCACGAUCUUCCCCUUUCUCCAGUAGCCAAGGUUUCAGGUACGCUUCUCGCCAUUUCGCUUUUGUAUUUUGUUUAACGGGUGUGUAUCAAUUGAUUCCUUUCGAAAUUUUAGUGAACGAGUGAAUUUUGGAGGUGGCUGAGAGAGUUUUCUGCUCGAAGUUAAUUACUUGCUGUUUAUACCAAAGAUGCGAGUGUUGCUGUUUGAUUGAUUAGAAGUGUUUUGAGCAUGUGGGUUCGUUAAAUUUUAUAGCUUUUACGAUUUCGUGUGCUGAAAUUUGACUUCAUUUUGAUUCUGUUACUUGACUCUUUUGGUAGCUAUAAGUUAAAGUUGCAUAAGUGAGUAGAUCUGAGUCUGAUUCUUGGGUGCAUGUUUGUGUAUUCUGUUUCUCUGCACUUGGAUAUUGAUUUUAAUUUUUUGAAAUAUUGGGAGUGUUCUAGAAAGAAGGAUGAAUAUCAACGUCAAAGUUCCGAAGGUACCAGGUGGUGGUGCCAUUUCAGCGCUGCUUAAGGUUGGGAUUAUCGGUGGGCUUGGUCUCUAUGGUGCCACACACAGUCUCUACAAUGUUGACGGAGGACAUCGUGCCAUUAUGUUCAAUCGUUUUAUCGGUAUCAAAGAUAAGGUGAGUCACUGUUUCUUCAAAUUGGGGUUUUUGGUUUUGUAGUGAAUGUAUUUUCCCAAAGAGUUCUUUUGCGGUUUGUGACAUUUGAAUGGAAAUUGUCUAGGAUUAUUUGUUAUUUAAAUCUGAUUCUCUUUUGUGUAAACACUGAGGCUGAUUUGUUGUCUAUGUUUGGUAUCAGUCAUGAUAUCAUGUUGUUCUGCUGUAACCAUUGAGCAUAUUAAGAGUCUUGUUAAUUCACAAGUAGGUGAUAACCUUAUAUUUCGCAGGUUUACCCUGAGGGCACACACCUUAUGAUUCCUUGGUUCGAAAGGCCGGUCAUCUAUGACGUUCGCGCUCGACCUUACCUUGUUGAGAGUACAUCCGGAAGCCGCGAUCUCCAGAUGGUACUCUGCUUCAACUCCUCACAUUUUUAUUCACUUUUUUUUUGAGGAUUUAGGGAAUGUGAAGUCUUUCGCUUCAACCGUCACAUGGUUUGCUUAUAUGCCACUGUGAUGUAAUAAUGUCAACGCUCAACUUCAUAAGCUUUAAGUUUGUGGGUUUUGAAACUUUCAGGUGAAAAUUGGGCUUAGGGUUCUCACGCGUCCCAUGGCAGACCAGUUACCUGAAAUCUACAGAUCCCUUGGUGAGAACUACAGCGAGAGAGUUCUGCCUUCCAUAAUCCACGAGACUUUGAAAGCUGUGGUUGCUCAGUACAAUGCAAGCCAGCUUAUUACUCAGAGAGAGGUAUACAAGUGACUGUAAAUAUAUGAUAAUCUUUCCCUCUUUCUUAGUGAAGUUAACAAAGAUAGUUUUUGGGCUACUCUUAGGCGGUCAGUAGGGAGAUCAGGAAGAUUCUGACUGCACGAGCUGCAAACUUCAACGUCGCGCUUGAUGAUGUGUCCAUCACGACCCUGACAUUCGGGAAGGAGUUCACCGCUGCCAUUGAAGCAAAGCAGGUGGCGGCUCAAGAGGCUGAGCGAGCCAAGUUCAUCGUUGAGAAGGCUGAACAAGACAAGAGAAGUGCAGUUAUCCGUGCACAGGUAAAGCUGAGCUUCUCUACAAUUCCACUUAUCUAAAAUCUGAGACCGAAAUUGUUGUGUGACAACCUUGUCAUGGCUUGUGUAGGGAGAAGCCAAGAGUGCUCAGCUCAUUGGUCAAGCAAUUGCAAACAACCAAGCGUUUAUCACACUCAGGAAGAUCGAGGCUGCAAGAGAGAUUGCGCAGACCAUAGCAAACUCGGCGAACAAGGUGUACUUGAGCUCAGACGAUCUGUUGCUUAACCUACAAGAGAUGAAUUUGGAUGUAGAUGCAAAGAAGUAGAGAGGCUUCUUAAGUAAAAUCUCAUGUGCUUCAUGUCGUCUUUUCAAUUCCUCAGAUCCUUUGGAAGAAGAGUUCGAUUUGUAACCACUAAAAAACUUUUAAAAGUUGUUCUUGGAAUCACCUACCUCAAGGUGAAAAUGGGUCACCAUUAAAGAGAAAAGACUGAAUGAGUUAAUUGUAAUGAACUUGUCGUUUGGGGGAAAAAAAAAAGAGGUUUGCAUUUGGUUAAAUGAAAAAAGUGAUUUAUUUUUCCUUUCGAAAUAACGAGUGUCAAUUGUCAAAUGGCUAAUCUACUGCUUAAGACAUCCGAAGUCUGUAGGCGCUAUUUAGUUCUCUGCCGACAAGAUAUGAAAAUGAAUAAAUGUACCAAAAGACAAGGGAGAUCUUUGUACAUUUUUUCACGAUCAGUCCAAGGAAUUUAAAUUGUACAAAGCAAAUAAAAAAGGGGGAGAAAAAAAAUUAUGACAAAAAGAAAAACAAGUUACGUAUUUAAGUUUGCACAGUAACUUUUAAGUUAUUUUCAAUGUAUGUUUAUGUAGUAAUAUGAAGUAUAAUGCUUAUAUACCCUUUCUCUUAUUUUACGACCGUUGAUAUAAAAUUUGAUUUUCUUUUCAAGGGAUAAAAGGUUGAGAGUCAUGAGCCAAAUGGUUCUGUAUCCCGGUCUGAUUAAACGAGAUAAGAGCCGGAAUAUUGUGAUAAUACUCACCGGCUCCGGCCGUUCCCCCUCCACCGCCGUUGCUCUUGACGUUACUGUUGUUAUGAUGAAGAUGGUAAUGAAGGUGUCGGCCACUACUUCCACCGAGGCCUUGGAGGUAAGGUCGGUCUUUAGCCGUGGCUGCUGCAGCGACUGAGCCACCACAUUGGCGUGGUUGAGUCUGGUAGAAGACUUUGGAGACGACGAGCUCUCCUUCUUUCUCUUCCUCGUUGGUACCAAGAUGAUAUUGAUGCAUUACCCAAUUAGUCUUCUCGGGCUUUUUUUGUUUGCCGUAGUUUGUGUAGAGCACUAGGAUUUUCUUGUAGCCUCUCACUCUUCCACCGGCUAGAACUGGCCGUGUUUUGCCGGUUUUGUGCCACCGUGUCUCGCCACCAACUUCGGAAUCAGUGUGGACUUUACGUCGUUUUCUUGUUCCCGUCGUGUAUGCCUUCGACGGCCGGUGGAAAAAAUGACGGACAGUCCCGUCCUUGUUCACUCCUAUAUAUAUAUAUUCAACGACUAAUUAGCAUUCAUCAAACAUUUUCUUCUAUUUAACCUUUUUAUCAAAUAUCAUUCAAUUAUUAAUUUUCAACAUAUUUUUGGAGUUUUCACUAAUCAUAUACUAGCUAGUGGAAACAAAUAACAAAAUUUGAUCAUCAACCCUAAUUAUAAUUAAUGCUAUUAUUUGUAUGUAACAUAUUUUUCAGAUGGAUGGCACUAAAUCUAUAGAAAUCAAACAUUAAAUUAUUAAUGUAUAGAAAAAUAGUAUACACUAUACAAGAACAAUAGAUAUGUAAUCAAUCUUUUAAAGUAUCAUAAAAGUUAUAUAUGUUCUUUUUCCAUGUCAGAUUAUUUAGAUCAUAUGAAAAUGAAAAAUAUAAAUAUAUACUAGAUUCGGACCCGCGCUACAGCGCGGGGGAAAAUUGUCUGGUUUUGUUUUUUGUUUUUUUCUUUCAAAUGUCGAUUGUAAAAUUUGAUGUUUUAUUUUAAGUAUGUAAUUGUGUUGGGUUGGAAAAUUUAACGUUUAAAAUAGAAUAUGAUAGCGUGGUUCCCGUAUGAGCUUAAUUUUCCGAUGUUUUGAAAAUGGCAUUUGGGGAUAAAAGAUUGUUGGUGUUAUACAAUUGAAACAUUUAUUAAGUUAAUGUGGGUUUAAUAAAGUUUAUAUACUCAAGUUAGUAACUAAUUGUAUGUAAUAUUUAUAACAUUAUUAAGCUAAACUGUUAUUUUGCUAAGUAAUAUUGAUGAAGUAUGUGUUUAUAUUUCUAAAUUGAACCUUUAGUAGGUUUGUAUCAUCAUGUUGACAACAAUUUAUAUUUUUGUUCAUGUUUACUUUUUUUUUACCAAUAUUAACGAUGGCUUCUCAAAUCCUUAUUACGGAAACACUAAGACUAUCUCCAAAGAGGGAUCCUUAAGUCAAAAUUAGAAUUUAUGUUGAUUUAAAAUAAAUGUAAAUGUAAUUAAAUGAUAAAGAGCGCUCCUUAUUAAAAGACUUUAAAAAGCGGUUGCUAAAGGACGUGGCAAAAUAAUAUUGGUUGUGGCAAACAUACAUUUUUUNNNNNNNNNNNNNNNNNNNNNNNNNNNNNNNNNNNNNNNNNNNNNNNNNNNNNNNNNNNNNNNNNNNNNNNNNNNNNNNNNNNNNNNNNNNNNNNNNNNNGUCUCUCUCUUCUCUCGCAUUCCUCUCUUUUUCUUUCUCUUUCUUUAUUUUUCUCUCUCUCUUUUAUUUAAUUGUAAUUUAUAAUAAAAUAUUAUUAUACACAUUUUUUAAGGGUUCAAGGUUGGAGAUGCCCUAAUAAAUUAAUAUUGCCUAAAUCCACAUUUUAUAAUAUAAAAGUUUAGGUUUUGUUGACAAUUAUGAAGCCUUUUUGUUUUCCAUAAUAAGAACAAUUAAUAAUAACUGUGGGCUUUUGGCCCAUUACUGAAUUUUAGUGGAUGAUGUUUACCCAAUUUAUUUAUUUUUUUCAAUCAAAAUUGUCUUGCAGUCAGAUUUUGUCGUUAUUGAAAUCGAAAUUUAGGAAAAUCUUGGUUCGUAAUUCUAGGAGAUACGAAAAAGUUGUUAUAUUAUUCACUUAGUUACUAUAUCAUACUCAAUGCUGUUGAAAUUACGCUUUAAUGCGUAAUAAUUAUUGAAGGAAAGAUAUUAUGAAUAUUCGUAUAGUUGUUAGGUAAAGUUCUUGGAAUAUUCUGUUUUUUGGUAUAUUGAAAACGCACGAGACAGAGAAGUCGCUAGUAUAACUAUCUAAGGCCAAGAAGAAGGCCCAAAACAUUAUUAGCUUUUAAUGUCCGAUUAAUAUAGCAAUAACUUCCGUUCAAAUUUUAUUGAGAAGAUCCGAUUUGGAAGUCGGAUUUUUUUUUUAAAACCGACCCGAGAGAGUAUUUGUACUUCUCUUUUACUAUAGUAGGGAUUUUCUGUUAAAAUUAUUUAUUUUGCUGUCAUUAAUUCUGUUUGGUUAUAGGUUUAGGAUUACAUAAAAUGUUAUUUUUAUUUUUAAUUGUGUUUGGCUUUCAAGAUAAAUAAUGCUUUCCUUUUAAUAGUAUAGAUAGCUCAUGUAAACAGCAAAAUUGUUGAUGAUUGAACAACAUAGAAUCACCUGGCAAUUUCUCAGGAUGGGUAUAACAGAUGCCGUUUUCACCAUCGAUAGUACGGAUGAACUCAUCGAUGAGAGGAUGAAGCUUUCUUGCGUCGUCUUUUACCUUCCCCUCAAGAUGUUCCAGUACCUCUUGAUCCGUCGGAUCAAAUUUCACUCCGGCGGGCAGUCCCGGCAAGUCAUGGAUCCCGGCCUACAUAAAUUGGGUUUUUGAUUACUCAUGAUCAACUAAUAGAUAUCAAUGAUCAAACAGUUUCCAAAUGUAGAAACUAGAUGUAGCUAGCUAGGUAUUGAGAGAAACAAGAACCUGUUCAUGAAACUUGAAGUUAUGGCCACAAGAAGGACAAGUUUUGUGGCUUGAGACCGGUAAUGAGGCUCUGGGAGACUCAGCCGCAGUCGGGGAGGGAAUGAUUCUUUCAACGGUCUGAACAUCGUUACGGUCAUUGCACCAAGUCAUGUUGUUUUAGGUAUCCAAGGUUCCUCUUGUGCAUAUCUCUCUUUCUCCUCUUCUUUCACUGCUCACAACUUCGUCAAAAUAAACAAAGGCAUGAGAGAGGAAGAGAGGAAGAGAGGAGGGAAAAAGAGUUAAAGUUAGCUAAAGCAUAUGUAUCCUAAGAAGAACUCUUUGAGGUUAUCUUGAGAAGGAGGAAGGAAUUGAAUUCUUGUUCAUCACUUUUUAAGUUGAGUUAAUUGGCCUUUUUUGCACUUGAUUUUAACUUUGUACUAUCCAUGAAAGAGAGAGAGAGAGAGAGAGAGAGAGAGAGAGAGAGAGAGAGAGAGAGAGAGAGAGAGAGAGAUGAGGUAAGCCUAAAAAAUUUAUUAUUUAAACCUCAUUUUAUAUUGUGUACAAAUGUACCAUUACUCUACAUAGUAAGAAAUUAUUAUUUAGAGCUAGACUUAAUUAGUUUUGUUUAAUAAGUAUAUUUGUAGAAACAUACAUGCUAAGUAACAAUGAGAGGAAGAGGUACACCUACAACUCAACUUGAAAGUGAAGUGUAAUAUAUAAUUGUGAAAUUUCAAUCUUUUGAUUUACAUGUAACAUUGAUCUUUUGCCAAAAAAAAACAUGUAACAUUGAUAAAUUAUAUAUUGGAAAUUUUCUUCUUCUUGUUUUUUUUACAAGUUUACAAUGCAUAGUUGUAUCUUCUAUAGUUAAAAGCAUUAAAUUAAAAACUUCAGAUUCUUUCUGAAACUGCAAUGUGAUAUUCUGAAUAAACUAAUGGAUGAUUAGAAUUAAGAAAAAAAUAAAUAAAGGAGAUUGCUUGGGUUUUAAGUUUGGUUUGGCUUCUACAUCGCAUGUAUGGUGUGUGAGAGAGAAAGAGACAAAGACGACUGAUCAAACAUCUAAAAUAUAUGAAAAACAAAAUCUUGUGAGAGAAUAUAUAUGUAUGAUGUUGCCUUUUUUUUUCUUUUUGGGACAAACACAUUCUUAAUUAGGUUAAUUAAUUAGGUUUCUACCUUUGGUCGUAUUUUGUAUGUAUUGAUCUUUAUAUUCAAUAUAUUAAUUUGGUAAUUUACUGAUAUUUAGGAUCUAAAAAUGAGUAAUGAGAUGGCGUGGUUUUGGAGGAAGGUGUUGUUGCUGGUUCGUGAGGGAUCAGACGUGAUAGGGUAGAACCAAAAAAAAUAAGAAAGAGAAGUUAAGGUCCAAUGUCACCCUAGCGUGUAUAUAAAGAUAUUAUAAAUCACAUAAGCUUAUACUUAUAAUUUACACAUCUGUGUCUUACAUAAUUUUUCUUGUCUCAAUGUCUCCAUCAGUAUUUACUGAAAUCAUAUACUCUAUACGAGUACUGACUGAUAUACGUAAGAAAACAUUAAUAAAAACAUUGAUAUUAUUUCCGAUGGAUAUUGUACACCUCGAAUAUAGUUUUAAGUCGUGCAGAAGUAUAGUUUUAGUAAUUAGUUUCUCAUUUUUUUCCCUUUUAAAUUAUUGGUUAGUUUUAACUUUUGUGAAAUAAAUCAAUAAUACUCUAGAGAAUAAAGUUAAAAGCGAUAUAUGCGUAUAAUUAUUUAUUUUUGAAAUCUUACGUUUAUUGUCAAAAAUAGUUAUGAUCACGUCAAGAUAACAACUCUCAAAAUCGCAAGAAAAACAUAUCCUUGAAAUACAAAUUAUAAGUAGCAUGUCGAAAAAUGAAUUAACAUUUAACACUUUGUGGCAUGAAUUUGUAAGUGAAGUUGAGAUGGAAUUGUUAUAUACCGAGGUUGAUGAAUAAUAUAAAAGUAAGAAGCUAUUUUUUAUAUAGAUAAAAAGAAAAAGAAAGUUUAAAAAGCUAGUCAUUAUUCUAUUUCUUCACGUAGACUUUUCAUGCAUAACAAGGAACCUCAACCUUUAUUUUUAAAACUUUUCUCUUUGUCGUCUGAUUUUGUUUCUGGUCUCUCAUGUGAAUUGUAAACACAUGUUAUACUACCUUUUCUAAUCAAACUAAACAAAAUUUAUGAACAAACCGGUUCUCUAAGACAGUGAAUAGUAUGCUGCAGCUAAAACCCACAAUUGUAGAGUUCCUUAGAUGUGAGGUGGGUGAUGGUCGCUCUGCUUCUUUUUGGUAUGACUCUUGGACAGAAUUUGGUCAGCUUAUAUCUUACCUUGGAGAAGCUGGACCAAGAUUACUCUGCAUAAGGAAAGAUGCAAAGGUUGUAGAAGCAACGAGAAGUGGUAAUUGGGUUUUUCCGGCAGCUAGAUCUGAUAAUUCCCAAGCUUUAAUGGUGGCAUUAGCAGACCACUCUCCACCAGAAUCUAGCAAAGGCCGAGACGCUUUCCUGUGGCGCAAUGCUUCAGGUAAUUUCAUCCCAUCUUUCUCUUCAAAGGAAACUUGGGAGCAGUUGAGAAUUCAUUCACCUUUGGUUCCAUGGGCUGAUGUGAUAUGGUUUAAAGAGCAUGUGCCACGUUUCUCCUUUGUUAGUUGGCUGGCUUUGAUUGCUCGUUUACCCACAAGAGAUAGACUACGAAGGUGGGGCAUGAAUACCCCUGCCUCCUGUGUUCUAUGCUCUAAUGGGGAAGAAAACCACAAUCAUCUCUUCUUUGAGUGCACCUUCUCCUCAAGCGUCUGGGGUUUUUUUGCAGCGAAGUUCAUCUCCUUUCCUCCGGCCACCUUGUCAGCAGCGUCUUCAUGGAUCCUCCUCCACAAUCUGCCGCAAAACACCAAACUCAUCUCCAUCCUCAAGCUCCUCCUUCAGACGGUGGUCUAUCACCUUUGGAAAGAGAGAAACUCUCGAUUAUUCACCGGUGUUGCAUCAACCGCUGCAGCUUUGCGGCUUAUCAUUGAUCGUACAAUGCGUAGUCGGCUUCUCUCCUUUCCAGGACCUAGCUUGCUUUCUUCUUCUCUCCUUGCUGUUUAUUUUAGUCGUCUUAGUUAUCCGUUGUAAAGUAAUUCGUCUAGUCUGUCUCUUGUUCUCGUGCUAAUGGGUUAGUUUUUGUAUCUUUAGGUUGUAAUAGCUUUGGCAAUGAAAUCUUCACAUUAAAACCAAAAAAAAAAAAAUUUAUGAACAAAAAAGUUACACUUGUGUGUCUCUUCGGGAAAUUUUUGUGGUUAGCUUGUUGUUUUCAUGGGUGGAUCGAAAGCGCCGCAAGGUGACAUUCAAGAAAACCAGUAACAAAACCAAUUAUGACAUUACUUGCAUGUUCUUGGAAAUUUAGCAUAUACAAUUUAUAAUGGCACUAUUAGAUUACUUUAACUUACAAAAAUAUGUAAUUCAAGAAUUUCAACUAAAAAAAUAAAAAUAAAAAAUUCAGGUCCCUGGAAUGCAGGAAUAACGAUUUGUUGUUAAAUCAAUGUUGGUUACAAACAUGAAACAUUACAUAAGUUUAAAUAUAUAAUAACCAAACUUAGUAAUAAAUAGCAUAUCCCUUUAUACUAGGAUUAUCAAGAGCUAUUACCUAAUUAGAAAGCUCUAUUUUUCUGUUUCUUGAUAUCUUACAAUUCAACUUAGCUUAGCAUCAUAACAUCAAAUCGUUAUUCCCGGCCCAAUCCAAACUCGGCCCAGUAUUAUAAUGCUCAAACGCUGUUUAAGUCUUCUGUGUAGUAUGGAGACAGUUUCCCACCACUCUUUUUAGACGCGUUUGGACUGCUACUGGAAACAGUACCAGGUACUUCUUGAAGCAUGAUCACAACUUUUCUCAUGGAAGGUCGGUUUAGAGGGAGAGGACUCAUACAGAGAAGACCAAUGUGUAUGACUUUGCUAAUCUCUUCUUUAAACCUGAGAUCAAGUUUUGGAUCUAUAACAGAUUCUAAACCGCAUUGGUCAAGCGUAGAGCACACCCAUUUCCCCAAAUCUUUUUCUCCAAGUUCUUGAUCUGUUGGUUGCUUCCCUGUAACCAAUUCCAAAAGCACCACACCAAAGCUGUAGAUAUCGCUCUUUUCAUUCACCCGAAGUGUGUAUACAUACUCUGCAAAAUUUAAAACUCGGAAUAUAAGUUGGAAUGUUAAAAGAAUGCAGUUGAAUUGUAUCGUUUCAUUCAGAUGGAUUUCUCUUGUAACUUUAUGGUAUUGUUUUGGUAAAUACCUGGUGCAAUGUAACCGCAAGAACCAGCGAUCCCGGACAUAGCUUCUGGCGUUUUGGAACCGCUCAUCUGACCAAUUUUUGCAAUCCCAAAGUCGGCAAUUUUGGCUCUGUAUUUUCCAUCAAGCAGUAUAUUACUCGACUUCACGUCGCGGUGCACAAUCGGAGGAACGCAAUCAUGGUGCAAGUACGAUAAACCCUCAGCAGCGUCCACAGCGAUUCUUAACCGCUCUGGCCAACCCAACAACAGCCGGCCUUUGCGUUCAUUGUGCAACACAUCAGCUAAGCUCCCAUUAGGCAUAUACUCGUACACCAACAACUUACAAUCACCGGAGCUGCAACAACACCACAAACGCACGAUACUCUUAUGCCUAAUCGUUCCUAGUGUUUCGACUUCCGCGGCAAAAAAGUCUCUGUUCAACGAAUCGCUGUAUUCAUCUCCUCCUUUAACAGUUUUGUUAAGUUUCUUCACAGCUACUACUUCUCCACCGCGAAGCUCCACUUUGUAGACUUUACCGGAGGAUCCAAACCCGAUCACAUUCCGUUCAUCAAGACAAUCAGCGAUUUCGUGCUCACUGAAAUGAAGCUUGUGAAAGGAUCUCCAUUUAGACGCUGCGAGUCUAGAGCUCUUUAAAGCUCUGAGCUUUCUACACUUAGCAACGAACAUAACGACCCCAACAACGAAAACCAAACCCGCAAGUGUGAAAAUCGAUAAGAGAAUCCAGACAUAGCCAAUGUUUUUAGACCGCGUGAUCUUCUGACAAAGACCAUCAAGAUCAACGCAUAAACCGGGAUUUCCAAUAAAGUCAUGUGCGUAUAUUUUGUCCCUGUACAGAAAAGGAAUGUUACCGGAGAGGCGAUUAUACGACAGAUUGAGAACGUUUAGCUUCAGGUUCUGCAGUUCCACCGGAAUCUCACCGGAAAAUUGAUUGUUGGAGAGAUCGAGGUAGUUAAGAACAGGCAAGAUUCCGACUUCUUUAGGGAUCUCACCGGAGAGAUGAUUAUUAGCCAAAUUGAGCUCAUUUAGAUUCUUCCAACCACGAAUCCCUCUAGGAAUCUCGCCGGAGAGUUGAUUCUUACUGAGAUCAAGCCUACUCAAUUGCUUCAACUUCACCAAGCUACCAGGAAUUACACCAUUGAAACCAUUCUCCGCUCCGGAGAACUCGAUCAGUCCCUUAAGCGAUCCGAUUUCGUCGGGUAUGGAACCUAAAAAUCGAUUCUUUGAGAUUCGUAGGUUUGAUAAAUUCUUCGCACCGAUGAUCGUCUUAGGAAUAACUCCGGUGAAUGAAUUUUCUGAGAGUUCGAGCAGUGAUAAGCGAGGCAAUCCCCAGAACUCGUGAGGUAUGUUACCGGAGAGCUUGUUGUUACUCAAUCGGACCCGAGUCAAGCUCUUGCAUUUUCCUAGACUUUGCGAGAUUUCUCCUGUGAACGAAUUGUCUAUAAGAAUUAGAUACUCCAGUUUCCCUUCGCCGCAGAGAUUCGCCGGUAUUUCGCCGGAGAAUUGAUUGUAUGAUAGGUCCACGUACUGUAACGGAGAGUUUGCGCCGAGUUGACUCGGUAACGUUCCGGUGAGUUUGUUGUUGAAUAGCUUGAGUUCGUACAAGUUUUUGGAGCGAGUUAUGCUCUCCGGUAAGGGACCUUCAAGCAUGUUUUCGAAGAGAUUGAGUGAUUCGAGGUUUAACAGAUUCAAUCCGUCGGGUAUCUUACCUCUAAGCUCGUUCGUCGACGCGUCGAAUCUUUUUAGCGUCGUCAUGUUACCCAUAGCUUCUGGUAACUCGCCUGAGAACGAGUUGUUGAAUAGUUCGAUUUGCUCGACGCUGUUCAGCUGUGUGAUCCAACUUGGGAUUGAUCCAGUGAGUUUAUUAAAUGUCAAAUCCAAGUUAACCAAACGAGUCAAUUUAGAUAGAGCUGAAGGUACCGGACCGACGAGGUUGCAGCCGGCGAGCCAGAGAACUUGAAGCUCUGUGAGGUUUCCGAGUUGACUUGGGAUAAGACUCGGAGAAAACAAAUUGUAAGCGAGUUUGAGUUCUUUGAGAGUCGAGACGUUGCCGAGCGUGGCGGGGAUUGUACCGGAGAGUAAAUUACCGGCGAGGUCUAAAGACUCGAGCUUUUGGAACUCUCCGAAGCUCGCCGGAAUCGUGUCUGAUAAGUUGUUACCGGAGAUUUCGAGGAACUUGAGGUUCGGGAGAUUGGAAGGAAGUGACUUUGGGAUGGACCCGACCAAAAGAUUCUCCGACAAAUCGAGAUAUUCGAGAUUACGACACGCCGUGAAGUCAUCGCCGGAGAGAGAACCAUUGAUGGAGUUGUUAGCAAGAGAGAGAAAGGAUAGAGAAGGAAGACGACAGAGGAUGGAGGGGAAAGGACCGACGACCAUGAAGCUUGAGAGAUCGACGGAGACGACGGAUGAGAAAGCGUCGCACUUGACGCCGUUCCAUUGACACGGCGUGACGUCGUUAUCGGACCAUGAAGAAAGGGACUGAACCGGGUCUGAUAAACUCAGUUUGGCUUGCCGGAGAAUGGUGGCAUCUUGGUUUAGAGAUAGACUUAGAUACGUGGAGGAGAGACAUAGGAGGAGAAUAAGACAAUAAAGCAUUUUUGUUAUAAAAAAAAAAGUUAUGGUUCUUUCAUGCUUUGGAUUUGUGAACAAAAACGAUAUUAUGGAUUGGUAAUUAUAAAGGGAUAUCUAGAAGCAAAAAGGGUAAUGGUCACUGUGACAAGACAUGGGUGAGACAUGUUUUUGAACAAUUCGGAGGCAAAUACAAUACAGUUCGAUGAUUUUUAUAUGAAAUCGAUUACAGAAUAAAGUACUACAUAUACAAAUCAUCUCCAAAAACAUAUAAAGUGAUAGAAAAAGAAACAUUUGGAUUCUAAUAGUUACAUAAAUAUACAUAGUGUAAUUUUUUAUUUAUAGGUAAAUAAGAACAUGUAAAUUAUUGUUCACUUCUUCAAUUAUUCGAAAAGAAAAACAAUGGUCAAUGGUCACUCUCUGAGUCAACUGUAAUGCUACUUUGGUCAACAUGAUGGAGAUACAUGGGCCAAGAGAUGCUGGAUCUAUGUUGACUUUUCUAGUUUGCAUAGAGGCUUCUGGAUUGGACUAAUGUUAUGAAUACAAACUACACAACUAGUGAUGGGAUCUAAUGUGGUUUUUGUGGAACGUAUAUCCUAUGAUUUUACUGUGUAUCGAUCUAAAAAAAAGUUGUUGAACCAAAAACCUAAAACAUACAUGAUCUCCCAACCCUAGAUUGAACAGAUAAUUUGAUGUGAUGGGCAUACGUUUGUAAAGCCGAGUGUGUAUACGUAGACAAGGUCAACUUUGGUUGGUCGGGAAAAAACAUGAUCCAACAGUAAUUUUUUGUUAGAUUACUUUCAUUUCAAUAAGAAAAGCAACAGUCACUUUGAUUUUGAAAAAAAACUACGAGAUUUAAGGGGGGAAAAGAGAGAAAAUGAUGGAUCUUGUCUUUAGCUAAUCUGUGAUCGGAUAUCACGAGUUUUUGCGAUGGUUACAACGCACUAUGCAGUAUGAUGUAACUUCAAGUCCAAUAAUGUUUUGGUCUUCUAACGAUAAUUACCACCACUCUUCCUAGUUUGCAUUCUCUUUACGUCUCCUCGAGUACGUUGCUUUUUUUUAAUGGUUUGGACUUAGUUUUAGUAAUAAAUUUAUAAUAACGAUAUGCUUCAAAAUCUUGUUAUUUUAGUGUUCCAAAAGAAAAUUGUUAGCUAUACCCAAAAACCACGUAAAAAAAGGUUAUACGUGAUAUAAUUUCGUUUUAUUAAAUCCAUGUUUAAUAUGGUUUGCAUGUAUACAGCAUGUAAAUUUUUUCAAAUGAAACAGAGAAUAGCAAAGUUUUCGUUUUUGAAGUUUUAUUAACAAAUACAAUUUUGAGUUGCAGGUCCACUUACCAACUGAUAACCUCUUUUAGCCGAAGAAUAAAUUCGUGCAUAGACCAAUCCAAUACAAUUCUUCAUGGACCAUACGUUAGACUUAGACACUAACUAGACUAGACAGAUUAUAAUUAAGCCACGUCAUUGAAGAGCACGAAACUUACAUUAUUUCGUAUUUUUUGGGAUCCUCCAUAAUCAUCAAUAAUUUAGAACCACUGAAUUAAUUUUUCUAUUUCAAGAAUGGCAAAGUAAUACCAUUGUAUUCUCUUAUCUUCAUGUAGUUUAAUAGACUUAUAGCAUUGCUUGUGUAAAUUAUAUGAAAUCACCUGUAAAUUUUUAUCACAACAAUAUCAUAGAAGUAUAUAUAUAAUCUUCAUAGUUGAUACUAAGGAAACGGUAACAGAGUUUUUUUUAAAAGUUAAAUCCUUUCUGUUACAAACCUCCUAUUUCUUGUUUCGUUACUCAAAUGGUUUUUACGUUUUGUUAUUGCUAAUCUUGACCUGCAACAGAAACAUAAAAAUGGAAGAACAGAAUAUCAACCUUGAAACCUUAACAACAACAACUCAACCGAAGCAGACACCAAAACAAAGAAAGAAAGAAAUCGAAACCCAUAAAAUCUUGUACAAUCCUUUCAUAUCAGAAUAAGCACCAGAGAGACAAAAAGGAAAAGAAAAGAAGAGAUACAUAAUCAUUUGAAAUUGCAGAUAUAAAAAAAUUCAGUGAUGGAAGAGACAAAGCAGUCAUUGAUAGCAUCUUUGCCGGCGGCACCAAGAAAGCCGAAGUCGAAAGUAGAGAAAUUUGCGAGGAAAACAUUCAAAGGAACAACUCAUUUGUCAAAUCUACUUCCGACCGGUUCGGUGAUGAGUUUUCAAAUAAUGUGUCCGGUCCUAACCCAUCAGGGUCAGUGUCCGACCAUCACCAGUCGCUGGCUCACCUGCUUCCUCGUCUUCGUAUGCGCCAUCUCUUGCUUCAUCUUCUCCUUUACCGACUCUAUCAGAGACCCAAACGGCAAGGUAAUAUACAUUUCUCUAUCACAUUUUAGCUAUUUUUAUAUUUACCAUUCGUAUGACAUAUCAAAACUCAAUGUUGUAGAUUAGGUACGGAAUCGCGACAUGGACCGGGCUAUGUGUGAUAGACGGAUCAAUAACUCUAACGGAUGAGGAGAAGGCAAAGUAUAAGCUACAGAUUCUUGAUUUCGUGCACGCAAUCAUGUCAAUGCUCGUCUUCUUUGCAAUCUCCAUGUUUGAUCAGAACGUAACCCGUUGUUUAUUCCCUGUUCCUUCCGAGGAAACUAAGGAGGUCCUUACCAGUUUGCCUUUUAUCAUUGGUGUCUUUUGUGGUGGCUUCUUCCUCGCGUUCCCGACACGCCGUCAUGGCAUCGGAUCCCCACUCACCAAAGAGUAACUUCAUACUCUUACACAAAAUGACGUAAAGUUUUAGUUAUCUUCAAAUUUUUGUUUCUGGAUGACAUGUAACGGAAUCUUGAAAAGAACUAUUCUUUAAAAAAGAUUUGAAAGAACUAUUCUGUAAAAAGAAGACUUGUUUAACAACACGAAAUUAAUGAAGAGGGGGAGAAUUCCCUAUAAAUCGUAUAUUACCAAAUGAUCUUAAUCUCCACACAUCACAAGACAGAAGCUUUAAUCAUUAUCACCCAAGAAGCUUCUUAAACCCAGCUUUCUGUUCCGCAGUUAAUCUCGCUGGAAACUUGAUAUUGAACUUGAUCCUCAAGUUCCCUUUCUUUGUCUGAUCUUUCUGAAGUGGCAUUCCCUCUUUAGGAACCACCUCUUCAUACUCUGGAUGGAUCACGUUGGUGACCGGGAUUGCAAGUGUACGGCCAUCAAGGGUCGUUAUGUUUGUGGUGUAGCCUGUCAAGGCAUCAGCUAGUGAGAUCUUCUGUGUGACAAUCAGAUCGUUACCCUCUCGAGUGAACACUGGAUGGGGUUUCUCGUCAAUGAUGAAUACUAGAUCCGCUGGAAUCACACCCGGAUGCUCAUUGCCUUUCUCUGGGAAUGUGAUCUUUGUGCCUUUCUUCCACCCGGGUUUCACUCCAAUUGUUAGAAUCUCUUCCACUUGCAUUGCCUUUCUGCAUUUAGCAGAAGAAAAAAGAUAAGAUAGAUAUUAGAUACUGUCAAUACAACAACUAAGGCCAGCUCAAAUCAAACAGGUAAUAAAGCAGGGGAAGUUUAUAUUCAGCAUUGAUCAAUACCUUCAAAAUGAUACUGGAAUAUAAUGCAUAAUGUUACAGAAACUAAAGCUUGAAACAAAAGUUUCAUAUGUCUUCAUACUUGGGAGGUUGUCUUUCAAAUCCAUGCCUUAUGUUAACUAGUAGAUAAGUCCAAUACAAAAACUUUCUAAGUGUGAUCGGAUUGGUAGCUGAGUUUGAUCACUUACCCGCUGACAUCUACAAUCUCCCUGGAGAUCUUCAUCUUCUUGGUGGUUCCUUUGUAGAGAUCUUCAAGGCUACAAGGCAACUUGUUCUCGAUAGGAGCCACUUUCCUAGCUGGAGCGUGAUGAUGAUGAUGGUGAUGAUGAUGCAUUGGUCCUCCUCCACCUCCUCCAUCACCAAACGAGGCAUACACAUCAUCACCAAACAUGCGGCUAGAGAACCUCGGCCCUCCGCUGCCACCACCUCCACCACCAAAGGGGGUCGAGAACCCGAAAAACUCAGCGAAUAUAUCAUCCGGGCUUCUCGGGUUGAAUCUGAAAGAUGAAGGUCCAUCUCCUGUUGAGAAGUAGGAAGCUCCACCAGCAGCAUUGGGAGGUGGCACGUUCCCUUUUAACCCUUCCUCACCGUACUGAUCGUACACCGCUCUCUUCUGAGGAUCGCUAAGAACCUACAAGAAGUCACAUCCAAAACAACAUCAGCCACACAUAAAAAACCUGAAUCAGUGUAAACAAUCUUAGUGAAAUUGAGUAAUAGAUAAGCAUAGGAAACACAAACUACAACUUUUGGGAUCCUAUUGGCUAAUUCGAUUCCUACUAUAGGACAGUGACCUCACAUAAUCUAGUUAGCCCAAAAAUAAAGCAAGUAUCUUUUAGUUUCAUACUAUGACUCGUAAACACGAAAUCUGGAAAACCCAAACGAGCUAACACAACACCAAAUCGUAAAAUCUGACUAAUUUGAAUCUCAAAUCGAAAAUUAGAAACAAGUUCGUGACCGCCGACAGAAUCACAGGAGGAGGAAAAAAAAAACUCUUUUAAGUACAAAUAAAAAUCAAAACUUUGAGGACGAUUUCAAUAAAGCAAAUCAUAAUUUUAAAUAGAGAGGCAGUGGUGAGGAAUCAAACACGAAAAACAUACAUCGUAGGCUUCAGAGAUCUGCUUGAACUUAGCCUCAGCGUCUUUUUUGUUGUUAGGGUUCUUGUCGGGAUGCCAUUUCAUAGCGAGUUUUCUAUAAGCUUUCUUAAGGUCAUCGUCGCUGGCGCUUCUAUCAACCUGUAGAACCUUGUAAUAAUCAACUCCCAUCUCACCUUCUUCUUCUUCUUCUUCUCUCUUUCGCUUCUUCACUUUUCCUGAAUCCGAUUAAUCAGCAAAGGUCUUUGAUUGAUUGAUUUUUUUUUAUGUGUUCCUUCUUCUUCGUCGUCUCUAGUCUCUUCGUCUUCGGCUUUCGAUGGUUCUUAGUAGAAAAUCUCGUGGAAGGUUCGAGAAAACACGAUCUCUCCGUUGACGGGGAGGUGACGGUGUUUUUAAUCACAGCUUUGCCCUCUUUUGGCUCUUGCCUUCUCCAUUUUUUCCCUUUAAUUAUCGUUGAAGUUUUUAGAUUCUCCAUUUAUGUAAGAUAAAAAUAAAAAUUAAUUCAGAAAAACAAUUAAAUGCUAUUUCCUUUUUCAUUAUCUAAUAAGUUUUGAGUUGGACAAAUAUUGCGAAAUUUAUCUAAAAAAGCCGUGUAGAAUAAGACAUGUAACGUAUUUAAUUAAAUGUUUGUAAUUAUAUUGUCAAAAAAAUAUAAGAAAUUUCAAGUGUUUUUUUUUAUAGAGAUUUUAACCCAAAAAAAUAGACCAUACCAGAUAAGUAAGGCCCAAUAGUAGCUCAAUAAAUAUGGGCCUCAAUGGAAUUCUUGAUGGAGGGGUAAUCUUCUCCGGUAUAAGUGUUGCGACUUUUUUUUCUUUUGAUAAAUUGUUUUUUCUAUUUUCUACAGUUGAACCUUUGUGCUUGAGUUCCCCCAUAAGAAAAAGAAAAGGCAUACUUCUUCUUCUUAAUCUCUUAAACGUGCAAUUUUCCGACUUAGGGUUUCGGCGAGAGCUCAUAAGUAGAAGCUACUCGAUCGUUUCGGAUUUCGAUUAUCAUUGUUUGGAUUCCUCGGGGUUUGAUCGGGUGUUAGUCUGACUAAAAUGGCUCCAGUUCCGGAUCCGAACAGUGUUGCCGGUGGUGCGAAGCGGGAUGAAGCUACGUUGAAGGUUCCUUCUAAGGAUCCCAAGAAGAAGGAUGAUAAAAAGGAAGAUGAUCUGGUGAGCUCUCUUUGCUUCCGAUUUUGCUUUCUCUUUUGUAUCGUGCUUAGCUGAAAGACUUUGCUGGAUUUAUUUAGUAUCGGAAGUAAAUUUCACGAUUGAGCUGUAGGUUUUGCCAGAUUUAGGGUUUAGUUGAUAAUCUGUUCAUUGGAUUUGAAUGCUUCGUAGAUUGAAUGCCACAUUGCUAUUUAAAAACCGGGAUUACGAAGUUGGUAAAAGUUCUUGGAUAUCAAAAUUCUUGUUAGGGUUUACUCCUGUGGUAUUUUGUAUAGGUAUAUCCAUUAGCCAGUUUUGUAUAUAGUUUGAUUGCUAGCUGACUCGGUUUGUAUAUGAUGUCAUUGCAGUCGGAAGAGGACUUGCAACUAAAGCAGAACCUGGAGCUCUAUGUUGAGAGAGUUCAGGACCCCAAUCCUGAGUUGCAGAAAGCUGCUCUUGAAAGCAUGAGGUAAUUCUUGUACCUAUAAACAUUGGCUGUAAAUAUUCUGAUAAUCUUCGUCGGAAUUUGUUUUAUGGUCUUGUGGUACUUCUUUUACUGCUUUUAACUACCUUGUUCAUUUUUUCCUUUUUAUUCGUAGUCUAAUCUUGAUUCGGUCUGUAGGCAGGAAAUUCGUGACGCAACAAGCUCCAUGACAUCAGUUCCAAAACCCCUCAAGUUUCUCCGUCCUCAUUAUGGAACUCUCAAGGAAUUUCAUAUAAAAAUGGCGGAUUCUGAUCUCAAAGUAAGUUUUCAGACAUUUUAAGUAAUUUCUCAUCAUCACCUUCUUGUUCCUUCUACUGAGUAUGGAUUAAGAUCAAAAUCCCUGUUUCUGCAGAAAAUGUUGGCUGAUAUACUUUCUGUCCUGGCAUUGACCAUGUCUGCUGAAGGUGAAAGGGUAUGCUUUCUUUCUAUUGCUGUAGGAGUUUCUUACCUAUUGCUAUUUAUUUCACUUUCCUUUUUGUUUUCCUCUUCGGAUAUGUCUUACCAGAUUUGUGGUUCUUGGUAGAAUUUGACGAAGUUAUUUGUUGCUGAUCCUACGUUAUACAAUACUGUUUCAGGAAAGCUUAAAGUAUAGGUUGACUGGAACAGAGGGUGACAUAGGAUCUUGGGGUCACGAGUAUGUCAGGAAUUUGGCCGGAGAGAUUGCAGAAGAGUAUACAAUGCGUCAGGUUAGAAAAAAAUUUGUUCUUUGGCAAUGUUCUUUCACUCCAAGAGUUUUACUCCUAUUAUAGAAACGUCAUGAAUCUUUUGUUUUCUCUGCUGGUCUGUUGAUGAAUUUUAUGACAAUAUGUUUUUUAUUUUGGUUAGAAUCGUUACUGAAAUAUGGUUAUAUGCUCAUUCUUUCUUUAAUGUCAGGGUGAAGAGUCCUCUAUUGAAGACUUAAUGGAACUUGUGCGGCAAAUUGUUUCUUUUCACAUGAAGGUGAGAUCCUUACAGUUUCGUGGUCCGAUGGCCCCUUAUAAUAAGAAGGGGUUUCCAUUGUAUAUCUAAAUUAGUAAAUGUUUGAUUGAUAGGCUUGAAAAUUUCACCUCUUAUUUUUCCCAUCUUUGAAGCUUUCCAUUUUGUUCUUGCAGCAUAAUGCUGAAACUGAAGCUGUUGACCUUUUAAUGGAUGUUGAGGAUCUUGAUCUCUUACUUGAGCAUGUUGACAGCACAAAUUUCAGGAGGACGUGCAACUAUCUCACAAGUGCAGCAAAGUAAAUCCAUUAUGUUGAUCUUAUUCAUUUGACAGGCGAUUUCCUUCAUUUAUGGUUUUAGAUCACUCAUACUGUUAUUUACAUGAUCCCUUUGAUAUUGUAUGUAUUUGUUCAGGUAUCUUCCAGGACCAGAUGACAUGUUGGUUCUAGAUAUUGCUUACAUGAUCUACAUGAAGUUUGCAGAGUAUCCAAAUGCUCUGCAAAUUGCAUUAUUUCUUGAUAACAUGCAGGUAUGGGCUCUAAUCUUCAUAUAGAACUUAAUAUACUCUUUCUGAAACAUGGGGAGAUCUGAAAAACACUCUCCUCUAACUUGUGUAUUUUUCUUGUAGUAUGUGAAGCAAGUAUUUACCUCGUGUUCUGAUUUGCUAAAAAAAAAACAGUUCUGCUACAUGAUUGCACGUCAUGUAAGUUCUUAAUAAAUUGAAUCAGCAUAAAGGCGCAGUACCCGAUGAUUUGUUUUCUUAUAUUUCUUUUUCUGUUGUUAUUUCUCCUUGCAGGGUAUCACCUUUGAGCUUGACCAGGAGAUGGUUGCAAAUAACGAUGACAAAGACGCCCUACAAGAUAUUGUUAACAACACUAAGUUGGGUGAUGGAUAUCUGACACUUGCUAGGGAUAUUGAGGUCAUGGAGGCCAAGACGCCUGAAGACAUCUACAAGGUUUAUCAGUUUAACUGAAUAUUACGCCUGUUACUGCUUUAUUUGGUCACAUGAUAUGUUCAUGUCAGUGCCUCUUACCUCAACUGUUCACUGAAAUUUUGCAGGCUCACCUGAUUGAUGGUCGAGCUAGCUCUGGUCCAAGUGUGGAUUCAGCUAGACAAAAUCUGUCUGCGACUUUUGUGAAUGCAUUUGUAAAUGCUGGUUUCGGUCAGGUAUGAUUACAGAAUCUUAUGGUGUGCAAAUAAGAAGAAAUUUGGAAGCUGCCUUUGAUAUACAGUAUUUCCUUAUUGCAGGACAAAUUAAUGACAGUACCAUCAGACUCAACUGGAUCGGCUGGAAACUGGAUCUUCAAAAAUAAAGAUCAUGGCAAGAUCAGUGCAACUGCUAGUCUGGUAUGCCUCUUCUUACUUGAUGAAUUGACUAGCUAUGGUCAUAUUUGAAGUAAAAACUGUAACAUUACCUUGUUGCUUCCCAAUUCUAGGGUAUGAUUCAUUUGUGGGAUGUGGACACGGGACUAUCUCAACUGGACAAAUAUUUGCAAGUUAGUGAUAAUUCCAUAGUCGCUGGAGCUGUGCUGGGAAUUGGGAUUGUUAAUUGUGGCAUCAAGAAUGAUUGCGAUCCUGUGAGUAGAUUUUAUUUUUUAUUCUAUGGGAGCGUGUGUGUUCAUUACUUUUUGCCAUUAAUUCUCACUCAGCUCUCUUUCUCAGGCAUUAGCGCUUCUUGGAGAUUAUAUUGACAAAGAGGAUUCAUCUGUCCGAAUUGGUGCUAUUAUGGGUCUUGGAAUUGCACAUGCGGGUUCCCAAAAUGAUGAGGUGAAUACAUGUUAUUAUUACCUAUAGUGCUUCGUUGAAUGUUCUGUUGACAAGACAAUAACCAUGCUUACUGUUUGGAUAGAUAAGAAACCGUUUGUCUCCAAUACUAAAUGAUGCAAAAGCACCUCUCGAUGUGAUUGCAUUUGCUGCACUUAGUUUGGGGAUGAUUUACGUUGGUUCGUGUAACGAAGAGGUGGCACAAUCUAUUAUAUUUGCUUUGAUGGAUCGGAGCGAGGCAGAACUGGAUGAAGCCCUCACUCGUUUCUUGCCUCUUGGACUUGGACUUUUGUACCUUGGUAAACAGGUAGGCAGGGAGUCGUACUUGAUAAUUUUCUUGUUCGUGUACCUGACUGUUUUUUCCAGCUUAUUAGUUUUAACUUGUUACAAUAUCGAGCAGGAAAGUGUGGAGGCUACUGCAGAAGUUUCAAAGACGUUCAAUGAGAAAAUCAGAAAGUAUUGUGAUAUGACACUUCUUUCUUGUGCAUAUGCUGGAACUGGGAAUGUCCUUAAGGUAUCUGUUCAAAUGUGCUAGUGAUUGAAUUAGAUUAUUCACUGCUUUCUAGUUUAGUCGCUGAUUCUUCAAAUUAGGUCCAAGACCUUCUGGCUCAGUGUGGGGAGCAUCUGGAGAAAGAUGAUAUUCACCAGGGUCCAGCUGUGAUUGGAUUAGCAAUGGUUGCUAUGUCUGAAGAAUUGGGUCUUGAUAUGGGGAUACGUUCUUUGGAGCGUGUGUUACAGUAUGGAGAACAGAAUGUUCGGCGGGCAGUGCCUUUGGCUCUUGGUCUCCUCUGUAUAUCAAACCCAAAGGUGAAUGUUAUCUUUGUGAAUCAAAUUUACUUUUCUACAUAAGAAUACUGCUGUUACUCUCUAAACUUCUUUAUAAUUCCAGGUGACUGUUAUGGACACCUUGAGCCGGCUAAGCCAUGACACAGAUUCAGAGGUUGCUACGGUGAGUUAGCUUUUUGCCACUCAUGGUUGGGUUAGUAGUUAUUUCAUUGACUUGCUAUGUGGCGUGGAUUGAUGUUUCAUCUGAUCCUACAGGCAGCCAUUAUCUCCCUUGGUUUGAUAGGCGCUGGAACCAACAAUGCAAGGAUAGCUGGCAUGCUUAGAAAUCUCUCCAGCUAUUAUUACAAGGAUGCCAGCCUUCUCUUCUGUGUAAUGUGUUAUUUUUAAUAUUUUUUUCCCAUGCAAGAAACAUAAGUUCAACUUACUCUAGGUUUGUUCUCAUUGUGUUACGUCCUAAUGCAGGUGCGUAUUGCUCAAGGGUUUGUGCAUAUGGGAAAGGGUCUAUUAACUCUCAGUCCUUUCCACUCUGAACGGCUAUUGCUAUCGCCGUAAGUGGUAGCGUAUAUUUUAUGAAUACUUGGCUUUCAAAGUUCCACCCUGUGAAUCCGUAACAUGGGUGUUGUGUUUUGUACCCAGAACUGCUCUUGCUGGUAUAGUGACAUUGUUGCAUGCAUGCCUUGACAUGAGAUCCAUCAUAUUGGGGAAAUUCCACUAUGUGCUCUACUUCAUUAUUUUGGCGAUGCAGGUGAGUGCAAUGUUCUAUCCAUGACUUUUUUGUAAUGGACUAAACAGUGUUUAUCUACUGACACAAUGCGGUUUGAGUGUGCAGCCAAGGAUGAUGCUUACAGUGGAUGAGAACCUGAAGCCUAUCUCGGUGCCAGUGCGGGUAGGACAAGCAGUUGAUGUGGUUGGACAGGCGGGUCGACCGAAGACAAUCACUGGGUUCCAAACACACUCGACACCUGUUCUCCUUGCUGCUGGGGAGAGAGCCGAGCUCGCAACCGAGAAGUAUGUUGUUCCUCUAAAGCCCGUGUGUUACAUUAUCAUACUCAAAACAAAACUGUGUGUUACAUUUCGGAAUCUCAAAAAAUCUGGUUUUGUUUUUUGGGUUUACAGGUACAUACCGUUGUCGCCCAUAUUAGAAGGUUUCAUCAUAUUGAAGGAAAAUCCAGACUACAGAGAAGAGUGAAUCCAAAGUUGGAAGUGCGAGCAUAUGAAAGAAAGAGAGCCUUUAAAUACUUUCACUGUGGUUUUAUGUGCACAGUCAGUUUUUUUCUUUCUUAGUUAAUUCGCGUCUGUUACAAGGAAAUGGUUCACAAUCUUUCCUUUUCAAAAAGAAAAACCGCUUCACUGCGUCAACUAGGAACUUUUUGUGCACUUUUAACAUCAUUCUAUUAUAUAGAUGGAUAAGUUUUGAAAUCCAAAAUCUUUAACCUGUCCUUGAAAUCAUCUACUUGUUAAUAGUUCUUAUUCCCUAUAAAAGGAGGAAAUAAAGUAAGCUUGGGCAUAGUGCUCUUUGGUUUGCUGCCAGGAAAAACUUAAAUCUCAUGCUUUGUACUCCAACUUCAGUUUAGCAAAGGCUCCUCUCGUUGUCUUGAGGAUUUGGCAAAAGCUCAAGUAAUAUAAUAAAAUGAAGAAAGGUGACCUAGCCGGCUACAUAUUACAUAUAUGGCGUGCACGACUCACUCGUUUCCCCCCUUCUGUCUUUUUCUUUUCUGUUUACAUAAUUUCGUUCCCAACUACCCACAAAAAUAACUCUCUCGUAUCGUAAAACCAGAAGUAUAAAAUCUUAUUAAAAAUUAGCAGCGACCAACAAAGGUAAAAUCAUGUACAUGUAUAUUUUAGCUUCUGUCACAAAAUAGUAUGUGAAGUUUGCCUAAAGAACUCAGAAAAAAAAACAAUAAAUAAAGAAACAAAUGAAUGGAAUACAGUUUUCACUGUUUGUUCAGGCCGGUAUAUGUAUGUCCAACCAAAAGGAAGAAAAAAGAAAGUAAUUUAAUGGCCACGACCUCUUGGACUCGGACCGGACGCCAACCGCUGAAACCACGAAUCAACCGUCGACUUCAUCUUCUCCACCGUUCCGUUCUCAGAUCUUUCCGUUAGAACCCUCCCCGCAGAAGCCUGUUCUACAACAAAAAACGCCACCAUCACCACCACAAUCAAAACAGUAGACCAACUAACUCUUCUCAUUUUUAUUUUGCUUUCUCUUCUUUUAAGUUUGUACCGACAAAGUAUUACCAAAAAGGAGAAGUUUUUUUGUUUGGUUUGGUUAUGGAAAGAAGACUCUAUAGGAGAUAUGGAUAUGUGGGAAUAAAAUGAUAAAUAAGAGGGAGUAGGAGUAUGUAUAUAUAUACAUAGUAACAAGGAAGCGGUCAUGAUGAUUCAUGACUCGAGAGUUCAUCACUUUAGGUCGGAUUUUCCCCGCGCUAGCUCACGAUUUCGCGUGUUGACCAAGUAUUAUGACUUGAACGGGUCGCUCCGCCUCCUAAACACUUACGUGAACUUACAUUUAUGUCCUCCCCCAUUUUGGUGUCACUGUGUGGAGUUUUUUUAGUUUAGUCAAUGCGAGUUUUUUUUUGUAAAAUAAAGUAUACCAAAUACAGCGGAGUUGUUGUUUUACGCGGUUACUAUUAUUAUUCAAAAAUACUAUAAAAGCUAACAACUACCAAGUUACCAACGUGCUGUUUUAUCGUAUUCAUCGUUUUUAAUAGUACUAUAGCUGUAUUAAGAUUAGUUCUAAUAUAUUUUUACUGAUAAGAAUAUAAUUUUUACUUUAAUUUAUUCAUUUAUAUAUGAAUUACAGGAUUUAUAUAUAUAUCACCAUAAACAAACAUAUAAAACUUUGAUUUUUGUUUCGAAAAGUCCUGGUUGAGUUUUGAAAAACUUCACGCGUAAAUCAAGAUUGACUAAUUAAAGUACUGCAGAGAGGACCAAUUCACAAUUUCACCUAGAUAAUUCUCUUAUCAGUUUAGGUAAUGGGGAUAAUGUAUUGUAAAAUAAUACAUUUCAAGUUAAUGUAAUAUAAAUUAAUUGCGUAUCAGUUGUGUUAGCUAGUAGGUAUUAGUGAUGAAGAAAUUAAAAUAUAUACUGAUAUACAAACGAAUUAAAGAACCAAGUAGACAAGUGUUUGGUAGGUAGGUAGGUUUAUUCAGUUUUAAAAAAACUUGGAAUUCUCAAGUGAUUUUUGGUUCAAUAUACUAGCUAGCUUGUAGUCAUACAAGCAUAUCUAUUUGAAAAGUGAUAUCUAAAGACUGUUUAAUUUUAAGAAACAUUGAUAUUCAAAACAUGCGAAUGUUGACUGUCCAACAAAUUCAAGGGGAUAGUCUUGUGCUACUCCUACCAAACUAAUACUAAGUAAAAAAAAGUCCUAUAUAUAUUGUAGUACAACAAAAUUCAACCCUCAUGUAUUUUGGGUAAGCUGAAUGAAUAUUCUGCUGAGUUUUAUUUACUGUGUCUUCGGAUCGGGUCAAAAUAGAUUAUAGUUUAUAAUCAAUUAUACUGAAUCGAUCAUAGUACUCUAGUUAGUGAUCUUAAAGAGGUUUACUUUUGAGAAAAUCUUAUGAAACACCAACCAGUUAAUUGAAUACGGAUCCUUCAUUCAUUGAAAUAAUAAUAUCUUGUUCUUCGAAAAUGCAAUUAAUUUCUGUUAUUUAAAGAAAAAGAAAAAAAAGAAUUACUUUUGCAAUUUGGGGUUGACAUUAGCUUUUGUGAUGGUUUUGGGCCAUCAUAGUAAAACGGCCCAUUAAGACAUAAAUUAUUGUCUAAUUAAGCCCAUCACAUAAACCUUCCAAAGCUUUUUCGUCUGCUUCAUCUCCUCUCCCAAAACCCUUCCUCUAGGUUUAGUGUUUCGCUGUCUGGAACGAUAUCUCUCAGUCACUCAAGUCUCUCCCCCCAAUAGUAUUCGCCGUGACCUUCUUUUCUAAUCGUAUACAAUGAGGAUUAAGACGUUAUCGAGAUCGAGUGAUGAAUUCACCCGAGAAAGAAGUCAGGAUCUUCAGGUAACUUUUGCAUACCAAUAAAAAACCUUAGGAUUCAGUGUCUAUACAUAUUCUAAUCAAUUUAUGUGAUUCCAGAGGGUCUUUCACAACUUCGACCCAAGUCUUCGACCCAUGGAGAAGGCUGUGGAAUACCAGAGAGCUCUUAAAGCUGCCAAAUUAGAAAAGGUAACUAUUUGCAAUUACCUCCCUUCAAAUUUUGUUCCUUUGUUUUAAUUUUUUUUGAAGUUUCAUUGUGGAGUUGUAUUGAUUGGUUUUGGAACAAUUUCUCAAAUUUGCAUCUGUUUUUUCCUUGUUCUGUAGAUAUUUGCAAGGCCGUUUAUAGGAGCAAUGGAUGGUCAUCGUGAUGGAGUCUCGUGUAUGGCGAAGAACCCGAAUUACCUCAAGGGAAUCUUCUCAGCUUCUAUGGAUGGAGGUAAGUAUAUUACCUCUUGUUUUCUUCUCCAAGUUUUAACACUUUUUUGAAACUUUGAUGAUGAUAAGAUCUAUGGAAAGGGAUUCAAUAGAUAUUGCAGGAAUCUAUAUGGUGAUUACUUGGUUUAUAUAUGGAUUAGUUGUACUGUUGUAGCAUUAAAGUAUAGGGAUAGUGCUCAAAGUUUGGUCAUUUUUAGUUUGCUGUAACUGGCACUAGCAAAUUAUGUAAUUGAUACUAUCUUUCUCUUUCUUCUCUGCAGAUAUUCGCCUUUGGGAUAUCUCUUCAAGGUUAAAAUCUUGAAAACUAAUUCUCUUCUGAACUAAUUUGAUCUUCAUUUAGUUUUUUUCUGUUUUUAAUUUCUAUGUUUUGUGUUUUGGUGAAUGAACUCUGGAAUUUGGAACAUGCAGGCGUACAGUUUGCCAAUUCCCUGGUCAUCAAGGUGCUGUGCGUGGUCUUACAGCGUCCACUGAUGGCAAUGUACUGGUUUCAUGUGGAACUGAUUGCACGUAAGAUAUGAUAAGGAUUUAAUUGUUUUAAAUUUUCCAGUCGUUGAUCAGAUUUUAGGCCGUCAAACUAAGGUGAAUGGAUUUCUGCAGUGUUCGUUUGUGGAAUGUUCCUCGUCCUACACUUGAAGAUUCUAGCGUUUCAUCUGAAAAUAUCAUUAAGGUAGUUCUUGUAAAAUUCUUUUUUUUUGUUUGUAAUAUUGUAUUAUCAUGUGCUUGCUCUUACCUUAUAUAACAACAAGCUUAUUACACUUAUUUUCAGCCAUCUGCAGAAUAUGUCUGGAAGAAUGCUUUCUGGUAGACUUCUUACACUUCAUUCAAUUUCUCAUGAUUCUAUCGGUCCAAAAAAACUUGAGCUACUUUUUUUUGUUUUUACUUAUUUCUAGGGCUGUUGAUCAUCAGUUUGAAGGUGACCUUUUUGCUACGGCUGGUGCUCAACUGGAUAUAUGGAAUCACAAUAGGUACUCAGGCUCCUGCUGAUAGAAUUUUUGGUGCAUGUUUUAAUUUAUUUUAAGUAGUACUUAAGGUUGUACCUUGUUGUAAUUAGGGCUCAGCCAGUUCAGAGUUUCCAGUGGGGAACGGACUCUGUAAUAUCUGUCCGGUUUAAUCCCGGAGAGCCUGAUAUAUUGGCUACAUCUGCUAGGUAAUAUACUUUCUACUUUCUACUUUCUACUUUAUACUUUUAUAUGUUAUGUGAUUGUCUGUGCUAGACCUUGCAGAGCUUUCUCUAACAUUAUAAGAGGAUUUCUCUUCUUCCAGUGACCGCAGCAUAACCAUAUAUGAUCUCCGCAUGUCUUCUGCAGCAAGGAGAAUCAUCAUGAUGGUAUAGUUGUAACUUGUUCAGCCAUUCUCGUCAUAUGAAUUCAUUUUUACUCUUCAAACUAAAAAUUGCAACUGUGGUCUGCAAAUUGCUUUUUGUUUGGCAGACAAAAACAAAUUCAAUUGCAUGGAACCCCAUGGAGCCUAUGAACCUGACAGCUGUAAGUGAUAAUCAUAAUGUGAAAUGUUCUCUGAUGAGUUAACAUUUGGUUUUUGCUUACGUGCUAAUUUCAACCCAUGGUAAACUGAAUAGGCUAAUGAAGAUGGUAAUUGCUAUAGCUUUGAUGGUAGAAAGUUGGACGAAGCCAAGUGCGUGCAUAAAGAUCAUGUUUCUGCAGUGUAAGAGUGAAGAAGGAUAAAUCCCAACUAUCAGAUAUAAUAUAUUAACAAGCUAUAAUAUUGAUCUAAUUUCAUCAUUUAUACAGGAUGGAUAUUGAUUUUUCACCAACUGGUCGUGAAUUUGUUACGGGUUCUUAUGAUCGAUCGGUGAGAAUCUUCCCAUACAAUGGAGGGCACAGCAGGGAAAUUUACCAUACAAAGAGGAUGCAGAGGUACGAUCUAGUGAACAACUCUGUAUAUAUUUGAAAUUCAGAUAUUCUGGUGUACCACCUUAUGAAUUUGUUUUAGGCUAAUUUUAUAUUUUAUUGCUAUCUUCUUGUAGAGUAUUCUGUGUCAAGUAUAGCUGUGAUGCUACAUAUGUAAUAUCAGGCAGUGAUGAUACCAAUCUCAGGCUAUGGAAGGCAAAAGCAUCAGAACAAUUGGGAGUUGUAAGAUUUUGUGAAUUUUCUUGUUACACUCACUAGCAUUAGAUUAAUUUAGACAAAACAAAAACCGAAGAAAAGUUACUGUAGGCUAAACCAUGGAUUCAAUAGUGUAUUACUGCAUAUGCUAAACCAUGAGAUAUUACUUGUACAUGCUCUCUUAAAUAUUUUCAACUUAGGAACGGUGAUUCUCAACGUUGACUGGUGAUUUGUGUUACAGAUUCUUCCAAGGGAACAGAAGAAGCAUGAGUACAAUGAGGCUGUGAAGAACCGGUACAAGCAUCUUCCUGAGGUCAAGCGCAUUGUGAGGUACAUGACAAAAAAAAACUGUAGUUUUAUCUCAUGUUUCUAACUUUGGAGAUUGUCAAAAGAUAACCGUAGUAACAUGGUAACGUUUUGGAUAUUGUGAAAUACAGACACAGGCACUUGCCAAAACCAAUAUACAAAGCAUUGGGGGUCAUCCGAGCUGUGAACGAUUCAAAGAGAAGAAAAGAAGAGCGAAGGAAAGCUCACAGUGCACCAGGAACAAUUGUCACAAAACCUCUGCGCCAAAGAAGGAUUAUCAAGGAAGUGGAGUGAGUUUAAUCUUCUUCUUUUUGUUCGUAUCACGGAAAAAGAUACGUUAGGUGAUUUUGUUGGUAUAGUGAGGGUAAGGUUAGGAACCUCUGCUAUAUGUUAUGCCCAUGUCGGGUUUUUUAGCUUCACUAACCAUUGUGUUCAUGAAUUACUCCUUUUGGGUGUUUUAAAGCUGAUCUUAAAGUAAUAAUUUGAUUUUAUGUGCUUACAGUUUCUCUUGACAAUGCCAUUAACUAUAGAUGAGAAUAUGAGAUAUACAAUGAAGUGCAUAACUGGCUCUAUAAAGAGCUUUAGAGAGUGUAAACAAACAUACGGGUAAUAUGCAAUGCAAGACGAUAGAUAUAAGGAAAGUUUGGGAAUGAAAAAUCUUAUUUUACUGUAUUAAAUAGUGAACUAGCUCACAGUGGUCUUUUAACUUACAUCAACACAAAUUAAAAGAAACAAUCACAAUACCGUAGACUCAAAUAGUUUUCCAGAGCAAGAUCCUGACCGCAUAUUUUAGGGUAAAAAAAAGGAAGCAUUCCUACAAGCAUCUCUGGACCAGUCAUACAAUCUUCAUAAUCUAAAUCAAAGACCUUCACGGUAGAAAAAUCAGAACCCAACACACUCAGGGGUUAAACUUCCAUAAACAGACUAAAAAGAUCACUGAUCACCAACAUUGAUCAGUUCAUACUCAACAAGAGACAGAUUGUUAUCCUCCUUGACUGUGAAAGACGCCGGUUCAGUGACUUCGAUGCGCCCCCAUUUAUCCACUCCUAGCCUCAUUGUACCCUUGAACAUGUCUAUCCUUGAAUUGCGCAGAAUCACCGUUGCCCCUGGCUUCAUAAGAUCAACUAUACACAAAGAAAAGAAUCAGUAGUUCAGUACCAUAAUCAAUGUAAUCAGUAGGCCAGAGUAAUUAUACAAUAACUGGUACAACACUAGCUAUUCUACAGGAAAAGCUAUGAAAGUUUUGGGAGAUAAUGUAGAGCAUUCAACUGAACAUAACUCAACAUAUGACCAAGCAAGUUUCACCUUUACUAAAGGCAAGGUCAAAUUUAAGCUAAGACGUCUUUCAAUUGCAUAAGCUACACAGACAUCACUAAAUGAUACCAGGCUUGAACAGAUUUUCACAGUAAUACCAUACAUUCAUUUCCAUUUUCAGUCACAAUGAUAGCUUUUCACACUCUUUCCAGAAAUUGACAUAAAUAAAUUCCCAUUUUCAGAUACAAGAAUAGCUGAUGCAGAAUAGCUGAUGCAUCAUCCAUCAUAAAGACUAGCAGAACACAUUUUACCAUUUGCUCAAAAAUAUAUAAAAAAUGAAAACAAAUACUGACGAAGACAAACCAGUAAACAACAAAGGAUCAAACUAUAUCUCUCCAACAAACUAUAAUAUGCCAUAUCUAUAUCCUAAGAGCAAAAGAAAAGAGUGAGUAACCUUGGUCGUUACGAGCAGUGAAGAGGAUACAUCCAGUUUCGUCUCCGAUGAGACACUCAACGAUUCGACUGGGCUGAGACGGCCUACUCAGAGAAUUCGCAGUACGAGGCUUACGGGUAACAGGAACCACGGUACUAGCAUCAAUGACCUUAACAGUCAACGUGUGACCAGUCGUUCCAGGCUUUAGCUGUUCCACCUUCACAAACACUGGCUUUCUCUUCACCGUCGACGUUCCCGUCGCAACUGCUGCAUUUCCUGUAGUCGCCAUCGCUCAGAUUACAAAACCCAGAUUUCGCGUUCGCCCUAAUUGCUGGAAUCGAAAGAAAAAAAAAACCUUUUGGGAGAGACCAAAAUGGGAUUUUAGGGUUUAUAAAGAAAGACGACGAUGUGCUCUGCUCACUCCCGAGACUGACGAGAGUUUUAAUCACCUGCUUCUCGGUAUCAUGAACUUUGUCACGUGUCGAUUUCUUAUUUGAUAUUUUUCAUAUGGAUUAAAGCUAUUAAUUUAUCCUUUAUUAGACAUUAAUGUAACAAAAGUCAUACAGCUAAUUUGAAAACGUGAAGAGACACUAAUCUAAAGCUUUCUUUGGUGCUUCAGUUUCUGCAACAACCACCACCAUCGCUUGCUCUUCUUCUUCUGUUGGCCGCGGCGGUGAAGGUGACUUUUCCUCCGGCGAUUUUAGUUGCUCAUGAUGAGUUACUUCUUGAUGCUUCUCCACUUCAAUGGUAUCUAACUGGAGAUUCUGCCGUCUGUAUCUGAUUACAACCACUAUGAUAAACACUGCUAUGAAACGGGUCUUGAGACUGGUUAGGUUCCAGAAUGCAGUAACUGCAGAGCCUGCCACAAACUUCUUGUGUGUGCAAAUUCCCCAAGCUUCAACUAUUCUCUUUUGUGCACUUUCAACUACACAAAGCAAAGAUCCGUUUUUGUCAUUGGAUUGGACACACCAAAGAGCAGUUUACAGUCUGUUCAAAUGGAUUUUACCUUGACGAUUAAUCUGACUAGCAUAACAUGAAUAUAGCUUUGGAACUGUGAAGCUUAGGAAGAAACCUGUUUAUCCAACUAUGGUCAGUUCUAGUAUAUUCAACUACAAGAAUACCAAUUAGAUUUCGUUGGAGUAUUGUUGACAUUGAGAUUUAGUGUUCCAGUAAUCAUACCAAAAGCACAUAACCUCCACAAUGUUAUGAGGUAACCAUACUCAGCUCCCAUUAGAACAAAAGGUGCCACCUGAAAUCAAAGUAAAAACCGAAUAAGAAGACUAGACAUAUUCAUUAGAGAAUAUUUUUUAUGAGAAUGGUGAAACUUUGUAAAUCCUACCUUGAGUGUCAUUGCAGGUUCGCCAGAGAAAAGCUCGCUCGUCUUUGAAAUCGCUAAAUUGGUGAUGGGAAGCAUUCGUCUUGCUAUUCGUAAGACAUCCUCUUCACUCAACUUGAGCUCUCUCCGCGCUUCUUCGGUUGCCCUUGAAGGUAACAAAUGGAUUUAAAAACUUUAGUACAAGCUAAUUUUUGAUAUGUACCGGGAUCUUAAGAGUUUGUACCUUUGGCGAAGAGUGUUUGACAGGAACGAUACCCCAAGAAACAAGAGUCCAAGAUAGGAGAUCGCUGAAAAAACACUUCAAACCAACAAAAUUUCCUUGAAUGUGACAAAUAAUUGAAGCUAGAAAGAUAAAUCAUGAUAAUAUAAAUCAAUGUACCUAAAGUUAAAUCCUUUAGCAGCAAAGCAAGAAGACAUGAAACAUAUACAUCCGAAACCGAACCAGAGUGUUGAUUUUGCAACAUCGCUCCACAUGAUCAAAUCGCUUAUAUUCUCUCUAAUCCGCUCCAAAUCACCUUGGCUAACAUCUUUAUCUGAAUUACGAAGCCAUAACACAACUACUGAGCAAAGCAUUCAUAGUAGAACAAGAGAGUGAACUCAUUUUGCAAAAUAAAAGGACCUACUUAUUAGAUUUGAAGAUUGGCAUGGAGAAGGUAUCACAGGAACAGAAUUUUGCUUCUCCUUCUUAGAUCGACCCGUCUUCUUAUGUUUUCUCGGUGUCUGAGUUUUCUCAUCAAUCAAGCCAACAAUAGGUUCCUUAUUAUCUUCCUUCGUUUCAACCAUCACCCCCGACCUUCGUCUCGAUCUCCGGCAAUUCCUCGGCGAGGCACAACCCGAAAGACCAUUUUGCCCUCCCUUAGUCCUACAUCGCCGUGCCACCGCAGCAGCCUCCGUAGCUUCCAUAUCAAAACGAUUGCUCAAACGGGUUCUCGAUUUACGGAGAGGAGAAGGAGAUAAGAGGAGGAUUUCGCGAAGAGUGACAGGAGAAGAUGGUGAAUUGAGGGAAAUAGGUGAUGGGUAAGGAGUACCGUUGCUCUUCGGAGACGAGACAACCAAAUCGAGAGAUGGAAUAUGCGAUUUGACGAGAGUGUUGUUGUU
rnacentral:lncRNA from 1 species